rnacentral:rRNA from 1 species
GUAGGUGGCGAGCGUUAUCCGGAUUUACUGGGGGGCGUAAAGCGCGUGCAGGGCGGGUUCCGUAAGUCGGACGUGAAAGCUCCUGGCUUAACUGGGAGAGGCCCGUUCGAUACUGCGGGACUUGAGGUCGGGAGAGGGACGUGGAAUUCCCGGUGUAGUGGUGGAAUGCGUAGAUAUCGGGAGGAACACCAGUGGCGAAGGCGGCGUCCUGGCCCGCACCUGACGCUAAGACGCGAAAGCGUGGGUAGCGAACGGGAUUAGAUACCCCGGUAGUCCACGCCGUAAACGGUGGAUACUAGGUGUUGGUGGCUAUCGUCAUCAGUGCCGUAGCUAACGCGUUAAGUAUCCCGCCUGGGGACUACGGCCGCAAGGCUA